rnacentral:rRNA from 1 species
UGUCGAAUNAAAUUNUAGGGUAGAAUUAANGAUAGUGNCAUUUGUCUGCCUAUGUGUCUGGCCAAAUUACCGUGCCAGCAGUCGCGGUAAUACGUAGAAGACUAGUGUUAUUCAUGUUUAAUCGGUUUAAAGGGUACCUAGACGGCAAACCAAGCUUUAUACAAAUUAGAAUUAAAGGACUAGUUUGCUAGAGUUACUUUUGAGGGGGUUUUAAAGUACUGCUGGUGUAGAGAUGAAAUUCUGUCAUACCUAUCUUCAAAGGAAGAAUCAUGGCACAGGUAUAGGCGAAGGCAUCCCCUUAUGUGAUAACUGACGUUGAGGGACGAAGGCUUAGGUAGCGAAUUGGAUUAGAUUCCCCGGUAGUCUAAGCAGAAAAUGAUGAAUGUCAUAGAUUAGAUAUAAGUUUAUUCUAUAAAUGAAAGUGUAAGCAUUCCACCUCGAGAGUAAUUUGGCAACAUUGGAACUGAAAUCAUUAGACCGUUUCUGAAACCAGUAGUGAAGUAUGUUGUUUAAUUUGAUGACCCGCAAAGAACCUUACCACAAUUUGAAUAUUUAUAUUAUUUUUUGUUGUUUUCUUAUUAAUUUUAUUCUAACAACAUGAUGUAAAAAACUGAUAUGAACAAAAAGAAGAAGUUUAAUAAAAAGGCAAUAAGAUAUAUUUACAAGCGUUGCACGGCUGUCUUCAGUUAAUGUCGAAGAGAGCUUUGGUUAGUUCCCUUANAUUAGGGUG